AGCUUAAUAGUUUAUAAUAAAAUGCUUACUUGUGGUGUAAGAGAAUUGUAGAGCUU
rnacentral:tRNA from 1 species